GGAAAUUGUGGUCUCUCAAUUUUCCUCUUCUCAGAAACAUUUCUAAUUGCAAACAAAUACCACUUCUUCUUUUUCCCUGUUCUUCCACCGAAUAUUUCUUCUUCUCUCAUUUAACUUCUUCACUGAUUUCAUUUCAAAAUGAUCUCAAGCAAAGGAGAGAUUUGUGUCUUUUAAAUCCGAAGUGGAGCUUCCAUACCCGGCUAAACUUUUACACAAAGGUGUUAUAACAAUUGAGUUCUGCUUACGGAACUGACUUCUUGGUAAGGUUGAAAACUGUGGAUCUUAAACUUGUGUUGGUUAGUCGCUUGAUUUCGGAGCUAUUUUAUUUUCUCGAAAUGUAUGUAAGAAUUUGCAUUUUGCCGUUUGAUUACGAUGAGAAGCUAGGCGACUCUACUUUAGGAACGUCGGGCCUAAGUGGCACCCCACCACCUCGGUGGCUACCCGGAAGAUCGUUGCGGCAACGAUGGAUGGUAACCAGAACUACCCUGACGGUGGCAUUGGCCAUGAGAAUAGUAGAGUAACUUUGUUUGCGGCUCCGAAUAUUUUAUGAUGUAUAUUUUUCUUAAGAUUUACAUUUAUGAAUUUUUAUUUAGCUGCUACUCUUGUCCAUUUACUCAUGUUUAGCACUGGCAUUACACUUUUGUUGUUAUACCCUCUAUUGGGCAUUCACACACUCCCUUUGUGUUGUUUCCCCUCCCCCCACCCACCCACCUCUGAGUACGAAGAGAAGUUGCAGCAGUAAGCCGGGCAGAGCUUACGGAAAGCUGUUAGCGCUUGAAAGUUAGUAUUUCGUAAGCUUAUGAUAUUGUAUAUCACAGGGACAUCUGGGGUAGUUAGUUUUUGCUUUAGUCGCAUAUCUUUUUGCUUUAUUUUGCUGCUGGAAUCUUGUACAAACCCUUUAAGAUGUCUGUAAAUGAUAAAUCUGGUAGUGCCUUGUUCGGUGGGUC